GGGUCUCUCCUAAGCUUUUCCUCUGUGGCAGGGUCAGAGCAAUGCUGGUCGGAGGCGCCACCGUGUGAUUUGGCGCGUUGCUGAGAGCAUUGUCCGAGCGCAGCAUGUUCGAAUUAACCGUCGCAAGUUUAUCCGUAUUUGUAUAA
rnacentral:lncRNA from 1 species